rnacentral:rRNA from 3 species
CCGGCGAUGUCCGAAUGGGGAAACCCAGUGCAAUUCGUUGCACUAUCGUUAACUGAAUACAUAGGUUAACGAGGCGAACCGGGGGAACUGAAACAUCUAAGUACCCCGAGGAAAAGAAAUCAACCGAGAUUCCCCCAGUAGCGGCGAGCGAACGGGGAGCAGCCCAGAGUCUGAAUCAGCUUGUGUGUUAGUGGAACGGUCUGGAAAGUCCGACGGUACAGGGUGAUAGUCCCGUACACCAAAAUGCACAGGCUGUGAACUCGAAGAGUAGGGCGGGACACGUGGUAUCCUGUCUGAAUAUGGGGGGACCAUCCUCCAAGGCUAAAUACUCCUGACUGACCGAUAGUGAACCAGUACCGUGAGGGAAAGGCGAAAAGAACCCCGGCGAGGGGAGUGAAAAAGAACCUGAAACCGUGUACGUACAAGCAGUGGGAGCACCUUCGGGUGUGACUGCGUACCUUUUGUAUAAUGGGUCAGCGACUUAUAUUCUGUAGCAAGGUUAACCGUAUAGGGGAGCCGCAGGGAAACCGAGUCUUAACUGGGCGUUAAGUUGCAGGGUAUAGACCCGAAACCCGGUGAUCUAGCCAUGGGCAGGUUGAAGGUUGGGUAACACUAACUGGAGGACCGAACCGACUAAUGUUGAAAAAUUAGCGGAUGACUUGUGGCUGGGGGUGAAAGGCCAAUCAAACCGGGAGAUAGCUGGUUCUCCCCGAAAGCUAUUUAGGUAGCGCCUCGUGAA